rnacentral:misc_RNA from 1 species
AACGCACGAGACCUGCGGACCUGCGGAGGGAUCAUUACCGAGUUUACAACUCCCAAACCCAAUGUGAACCAUACCAAACUGUUGCCUCGGCGGGGUCACGCCCCGGGUGCGUCGCAGCCCCGGAACCAGGCGCCCGCCGGAGGGACCAACCAAACUCUUUUCUGUAGUCCCCUCGCGGACGUUAUUUCUUACAGCUCUGAGCAAAAAUUCAAAAUGAAUCAAAACUUUUAACAAUGGAUC